AUUGAACGCUGGCGGCAGGCCUAACACAUGCAAGUCGAGCGAGCGGCGGACGGGUGAGUAAUGUAUUGGGACUGCUCGAUAGAGGGGGAUAACUACUGGAAACGGUAGUUAAUCCCGCAUACUAUCGGAUAACCCAUAUGGGAUUAACUAGUAGGUGAGGUUAUGGCUCACCUAGGCGACGAUCCCUAGCUGGUCUGAUAGGAUGAUCAGCCAGACGGGGGCAGUGAAACGGCCCAGACUCCUGCGGAGGCAGCAGUGGGGAAUAUUGCACAAGUGGCGCAAUCCUGAUGCAGCCAUGCAGCGUGUAUGAAGAAGGCCCUAGAGUUAUAAAGUACUUUCGGUCGGGAGGCGUUACCGACGGAAGAAGCACCGGAUAACUCCGUGACAGCAGCCGCGGUAAUUC
rnacentral:rRNA from 1 species